UUCUCGGUCGUAUAACGGUCAGUAUACAAGCUUGUCACGCUUGUGAUCCGGGUUCGAUUCCCGGCCGGGAAG